UGUUUUUUGUUAAUCCAAAUCUUAAGAAGUUCAAACUGGAGAAGUUAUACAUCCAUUGCGACGUGUUUGACAGAUAGCCACCAAAUUAUCAAUCAUCAUAUAUUGAUUGAUGGACCUAUAUGGGGUAACGGAAUCUCUCCAACAUACGUCACGAGUAUACAUAUGAAGCGGAAACAAGCGUAUAUGACAGAUGGAUUGUUUCAUCAACAGCGUUCACUAUGGGAGCCUCUACAAGAG